rnacentral:rRNA from 1 species
GAUGAACGCUGGCGGCGUGCCUAAUACAUGCAAGUCGAGCGAACGGACGAGAAGCUUGCUUCUCUGAUGUUAGCGGCGGACGGGUGAGUAACACGUGGAUAACCUACCUAUAAGACUGGGAUAACUUCGGGAAACCGGAGCUAAUACCGGAUAAUAUUUUGAACCGCAUGGUUCAAAAGUGAAAGACGGUCUUGCUGUCACUUAUAGAUGGAUCCGCGCUGCAUUAGCUAGUUGGUAAGGUAACGGCUUACCAAGGCAACGAUGCAUAGCCGACCGGACAGGGUGAUCGGCCACAUUGGAACGGGAACACGGUCCAGAGUCCUAAGGGAGGCAGCAGUAGGGAACCGUCCGCAAUGGGCGAAAGCCUGACGGAGCAACGCCGCGUGAGUGAUGAAGGUCUUCGGAUCGUAAAACUCUGUUAUUAGGGAAGAACAUAUGUGUAAGUAACUGUGCACAGCUUGACGGUACCUAAUCAGAAAGCCACGGCUAACUACGUG